rnacentral:rRNA from 1 species
CCUACGGGAGGCAGCAGUAGGGAAUCUUGCACAAUGGGGGAAACCCUGAUGCAGCGACGCCGCGUGAGUGAAGAAGUAAUUCGUUAUGUAAAGCUCUAUCAGCAGGGAAGAAAAUGACGGUACCUGACUAAGAAGCCCCUGCUAACUACGUGCCAGCAGCCGCGGUAAUACGUAGGGGGCAAGCGUUAUCCGGAUUUACUGGGUGUAAAGUGAGCGUAGACGGGAGUGCAAGUCUGGAGUGAAAGGCGGGGGCUCAACCCCCGGAGUGCACUGGAAACUGUACGGCUGGAGUGCAGGAGAGGUGAGUGGAAUUCCGAGUGUGGCGGUGAAAUGCGUAGAUAUUAGGAGGAACACCAGUGGCGAAGGCGGCUUACUGGACUGUAACUGACGUUGAGGCUCGAAAGCGUGGGGAGCAAACAGGAUUAGAUACCCUUGUAGUC